rnacentral:rRNA from 1 species
CCUACGGGUGGCAGCAGUGAGGAAUAUUGGUCAAUGGACGAGAGUCUGAACCAGCCAAGUAGCGUGAAGGAUGACUGCCCUAUGGGUUGUAAACUUCUUUUAUAUGGGAAUAAAACGUUCCACGUGUGGGAUUUUGUAUGUACCAUAUGAAUAAGGAUCGGCUAACUCCGUGCCAGCAGCCGCGGUAAUACGGAGGAUCCGAUCGUUAUCCGGAUUUAUUGGGUUUAAAGGGAGCGUAGGUGGGUUGUUAAGUCAGUUGUGAAAGUUUGCGGCUCAACCGUAAAAUUGCAGUUGAAACUGGCAGUCUUGAGUACAGUAGAGGUAGGCGGAAUUCGUGGUGUAGCGGUGAAAUGCUUAGAUAUCACGAAGAACUCCGAUUGCGAAGGCAGUUCACUGGACUGCCACUGACACUGAGGCUCGAAAGUGUGGGUAUCAAACAGGAUUAGAUACCCUUGUAGUC